UACAGAGGUCCCAAGCGUUGUUCGGAUUCAUUGGGCGUAAAGGGUGCGUAGGUGGCGCCGUAAGUCGGUGUGAAAUUUCGGAGCUUAACUCCGAAACUGCAUUCGAUACUGCGGUGCUUGAGGACUGGAGAGGAGACUGGAAUUCCUGGUGUAGCGGUGAAAUGCGCAGAUAUCAGGAGGAACACCCGUGGCGAAAAGCGGCUCUCUGGGGACGGUACUGACGCUGAGACGCGAAAGCGUGGGGAGCAAACAGG
rnacentral:rRNA from 1 species